UUAAUAGAAGCCAAAAUAGAGGCUGUUCACUGUUAAUGAAUUUAAUGAUUAAUCCUAUU
rnacentral:tRNA from 1 species